CUCCAGACUAGCAUGUGCACCAUGUGAUGCUGGGGUUGCCAUGACAUUUUGCAGGCAAGAAAUUCCGGGUGUGCUGAAAUUUGUGAAAAUCUGAAGACAUCAUUGCGAAUUUUGCGUAAAAGCUGCCCCGAGAACUGGAUCGUGGGUUUGGAGACUUUGUGGUCCCUCGUGAGCGCUCAGAGGUCCUCUUGACUCUUCACAGUAUCACCAGAUGGUGGUGUUCAUUCAGACAGACAUCAUCCUUCUCCUUCACCUGUUUGGUCUAGUCUAACCCUGUGAAGGAAAUUUCAUCAUGAGUCAGGAGAAAUUCAGCACGGCAUGUAUUAUUGGUAUUGUGAUUUGAGUGGCAACCGACCAACACUUAGGGAACAAUUUAUCUACCUGAAUUGGACUAGACAUCACUAAUGCACAUGGCAGAUUGAUUGUACAGCUUUAGUGGACGUAUUCUUUAUUAAUGAGAUUCAGCAUGAUUUGCUAAAAAGGCUUUUACUGGGCAGUCGUUUUGUGUCCCCUCCCCCAUUUCUCUUUAGCCUAUUUAAUCUUGUUGAACCUUGCACUAUGUUUUGAGACUGUUUUUCCUCUCUACUUUUAUUUGAAAUACCAAGGCUUUUAAAUAAUUGUGCACAAACUGAACACAGUGCACACACACACACACACACACACAAGCUAGAUUGUAAUCAAUAUUAUAAAACAUAC